CCUGGCGGCCAUAGCGCGGUGGCACCACCUGAACCCAUGCCGAACUCAGAAGUGAAACGCCGUAGCGCCGAUGGUAGUGUGGGGUCUCCCCAUGCGAGAGUAGGACACUGCCAGGC
rnacentral:rRNA from 5 species